rnacentral:lncRNA from 1 species
AUUUCCAAACGAAAUUCCAUCAAGGCGUGGGCACGCCUGUAACCUCUACUCCUCUGUCCAACACCACAAAAACAGUCAAAGCAUUAAGAUAAAACUGAAAAAUCGCAGAGUAAGUAAAAAUGAUCACAACUAAUAUUGUAAUCCUUGGGUUGCCUCCCAAGCAGCGCCUUUCUUUAACGUCUUUGGCUAGACAAGGCCUUGAAAUGUUUAGAUUUCACCUCUUGGAUUAUCAAGGAAUAAAACCUCCACUUGCUCACUGUUAAAGCCUUCGUAAUAAGGCUUUAGACGGUGACCAUUGACUACGAACCUUUUCUCCGUCUUAAGACUUUGUAUUUCCACUGCACCAAAAUGAGAAAUGUUAGUAACAACAAAUGGACCAAUCCAACGGGAGCGCAACUUACCAGGAAAAAGCUUAAGUCUUGAUGAUAAAGUAAGACUUUUUGCCCUACGACAAACGACUUUCUCGAAACUUGUUGAUCAUG